rnacentral:tRNA from 1 species
GCCGAGGUGGCGGAACAGCAGACGCUACGGACUUAAAAUCCGUUGAUCUUCGGGUCGUGUGGGUGCAACUCCCACCCUCGGCA